CACGCCGUAAACGAUGGAUACUAGCUGUUCGGUAGCAAUACUGAGUGGCUAAGCGAAAGUGAUAAGUAUCCCACCUGGGGAGUACGUUCGCAAGAAUGAAACUCAAAGGAAUUGACGGGGGCCCGCACAAGCGGUGGAGCAUGUGGUUUAAUUCGAUGAUACGCGAGGAACCUUACCAGGGCUUAAAUGUAGUAUGACAGGGGUGGAAACACCUUUCCUUCGGGCAUAUUACAAG
rnacentral:rRNA from 1 species